rnacentral:rRNA from 1 species
UUGACCUCGGAUCAGGUAGGAAUACCCGCUGAACUUAAGCAUAUCAAUAAGCGGAGGAAAAGAAACCAACAGGGAUUGCCCUAGUAACGGCGAGUGAAGCGGCAACAGCUCAAAUUUGAAAUCUGGCUUCGGCCCGAG